GACGAACGCUGGCGGCGUGCUUAACACAUGCAAGUCGAACGGUAAGGCCCUUCGGGGUACACGAGUGGCGAACGGGUGAGUAACACGUGGGUGAUCUGCCCUGCACUUCGGGAUAAGCCUGGGAAACUGGGUCUAAUACCGGAUAGGACCACUGCCUGCAUGGGUGGUGGUGGAAAGCUUUUGCGGUGUGGGAUGGGCCCGCGGCCUAUCAGCUUGUUGGUGGGGUGAUGGCCUACCAAGGCGACGACGGGUAGCCCGGCUGAGAGGGUGACCGGCCACACUGGGAAUGAGAGACGGCCCAGACUCCUACGGGAGGGAGCAGUGGGGAAUAUUGCACAAUGGGCGCAAGCCGGAUGAAGCGACGCCGCGUGAGGGAUGACGGCCUUCGGGUUGUAAACCUCUUUCAGCACCGACGAAGCGCAAGUGACGGUAGGUGCAGAAGAAGGACCGGCCAACUACGUGCCAGCCGCCGCGGUAA
rnacentral:rRNA from 1 species